UACGGGGGGGGGCAAGCGUUGUUCGGAAUUACUGGGCGUAAAGGGCGCGUAGGCGGCCUGCUAAGUCGGAUGUGAAAUCCCUCGGCUCAACCUCGGGCGUGCGAUGGAUACUGCCGGGCUAGAGGGUGGUAGAGGCGAGUGGAAUUCCCGGUGUAGCGGUGAAAUGCGCAGAUAUCGGGAGGAACACCGGUGGCGAAGGCGGCAUCCUGGACCAAUACUGACGCUGAGGAGCGAAAGCCAGGGGAGCAAAGCGGG
rnacentral:rRNA from 1 species